rnacentral:miRNA from 1 species
GGAUCUCACUGUGUAGUUGAGACUGACCUGGAACUCACUAUGUAGCCCAGGCUGGUCUCGAACUCACAGUGAUCCUCCUGCCUCAGCCUCCCGAGUGCUGGGAUUACAGGCAUGCGCUACCAUGCCCG